rnacentral:rRNA from 1 species
GGGGGGGGAAACCCCCCUUUCCGGGCUUUCGAACCCUUUCAACACCCUUGUGCACUCGCUGUAGGUCCCUCGGGAUCUACGUCUCCCUUCGAACUCGCAUGUCUACAGAAUGUAUGCCUCGUGUCUCGGCCUCGACCCCCAGGGUCCCGCGUCGAAGACCGUGAAAUCAAUACAACUUUCAGCAACGGAUCUCUUGGCUCUCGCAUCGAUGAAGAACGCAGCGAAUCGCGAUAAGUAAUGUGAAUUGCAGAUUUUCCGUGAAUCAUCGAAUCUUUGAACGCACCUUGCGCUCCUCGGUAUUCCGAGGAGCAUGCCUGUUCGAGUGUCAUCGAAAUCUCGAAUCGAAGCUUGGACCCGGUCCGAGCUUCGUUCGGACAGUGGGAGUCUGCGGGCGAAGCCUCGCUACGUCCGCUCUCCUCAAAAGCAUUAGCCGUGGACGCCAGCCUUGCAUGGCACGGCCUCUUCGACGUCGUAAUGAUCGUCGCGGGCUGGAAGUGCGAGGCGGGACCGACCACGCUUCCCUAGACUUGCGAGCCCGUUCUCCUCGGGGAACGGCCGCGCCCCCAUCGAUGCUUGACCUAAGAAUCAGGUAGGACUACCCGCCGAACUA